rnacentral:rRNA from 1 species
UACGUAGGUCCCGAGCGUUGUCCGGAUUUAUUGGGCGUAAAGCGAGCGCAGGUGGUUUAUUAAGUCUGGUGUAAAAGGCAGUGGCUCAACCAUUGUAUGCAUUGGAAACUGAUAGACUUGAGUGCAGGAGAGGAGAGUGGAAUUCCAUGUGUAGCGGUGAAAUGCGUAGAUAUAUGGAGGAACACCGGUGGCGAAAGCGGCUCUCUGGCCUGUAGCUGACACUGAGGCUCGAAAGCGUGGGGAGCAAACAGG